rnacentral:rRNA from 1 species
ACUCCUACGGGAGGCAGCAGUGGGAAGUAUUGCAUCAAUGGCAGGCAAGCCAUGCAUGCAGCCAUGCCGCGUGUGUGAAGAAGGCCUUCGGGUUGUAAAGCACUUUCAGUUGUGAGGAAGGUGGUGUCGUUAAUAGCGGCAUCAUUUGACGUUAGCAACAGAAGAAGCACCGGCUAACUCCGUGCCAGCAGCCGCGGUAAUACGGAGGGUGCGAGCGUUAAUCGGAAUUACUGGGCGUAAAGCGCAUGCAGGUGGUUUGUUAAGUCAGAUGUGAAAGCCCGGGCU